rnacentral:rRNA from 1 species
UACGGAGGGUGCAAGCGUUGUCCGGAAUUAUUGGGCGUAAAGAGCUCGUAGGCGGUCUGUUGCGUCCGCUGUGAAAACUAGGGGCUUAACCCCGAGCCUGCAGUGGAUACGGGCAGACUAGAGGUAGGUAGGGGAGAAUGGAAUUCCCGGUGUAGCGGUGAAAUGCGCAGAUAUCGGGAGGAACACCGGUGGCGAAGGCGGUUCUCUGGGCCUUACCUGACGCUGAGGAGCGAAAGCGUGGGGAGCAAACAGG